AUGCCGCUCCUCCUCAUCCUCCUCCUGGCACUGUCAUGCGCCACGCACGGCGCCAACGCCGCGGGGUGCGACCCCACCACCGGCUUCAUCACCGUGCCACUCACUGAUGCGCAGCUCCCGGUGCAGAGUCCAUACGACGUGCCGCUGGAUCAGCGAUACGAGCUCGUGAAUGGCAUGCGGCGGAUGUGGGUGUACUGUACUGACAAGCCUCAUAGCCCAGCCAGCCACACCCGGCCACGAACAGAGAUCCGCCACGUCCCCCAAAACUACAGCUCCGGCGUGUGGCAGUUCAAGGGGUACACCUACGUGCCCUCGGGCACGACGGGGGUGUCCAUCAUGAAGGUGUUCGGCGCGGCGAAGCACGCGACGACGCUCAUGCUGCACGUCUACGGCGGCGCGCUGGUGUACUACGACGACUGGACGCGGGUGGUAGACCGCAGCAUCUACGACCGGUGGUUCAGGCUCAACGUGAUUCACGACGUCGGCGGCGCAGGGACGCUCACCAUGUUCAUCGACGGCCAGGAGCGGCUGCGUGUAGCGGGGCGCGGCGGCGACAUACACUACUUCAAGUUCGGGGUGUACACUCAGACGGCCCCCUCGCACCUCCUGGAGUCGCGGUGGAGAGACGUCAGGCUCUUCACCAAGGAAGCUUAUUGA
rnacentral:rRNA from 1 species